rnacentral:rRNA from 1 species
CAGUCGCCGCGGGAACACGGAGGGAGCUAGCGUUGUUCGGAAUUACUGGGCGUAAAGCGCGCGUAGGCGGUUACUCAAGUCAGAGGUGAAAGCCCGGGGCUCAACCCCGGAACUGCCUUUGAAACUAGGUGACUAGAAUCUUGGAGAGGUCAGUGGAAUUCCGAGUGUAGAGGUGAAAUUCGUAGAUAUUCGGAAGAACACCAGUGGCGAAGGCGACUGACUGGACAAGUAUUGACGCUGAGGUGCGAAAGCGUGGGGAGCAAACAGGAUUAGAUACCCCGGUAGUCCCUGUCUCUUAUAC